rnacentral:lncRNA from 7 species
UUUUUGUUGUAGCUAUAUAUACGGGAGAACACAUAAUCAUCAUUAGACAAGAACAGCCAACAGGGGACGGGUCUUCUCGUGGAAGCUUCAUGUGGAGUACUCCUGCAGCGUCCUCGUUAUCAGGCGUACUAGUAUGGACAGGCAUGCGCACGCGACUCGAGGAGGAAGCGGCGCCUGCAGCGUCCUCGUUAUCAGGCGCAAUGAAUAGUGACUAGUAGGAAUGGAAGGUCUUUAACUAUAAUCCUGCGAUG